rnacentral:rRNA from 1 species
UACGGGAGGCAGCAGUGGGGAAUAUUGCACAAUGGGCGCAAGCCUGAUGCAGCAACGCCGCGUGAGGGAUGACGGCCUUCGGGUUGUAAACCUCUUUUAGUAGGGAAGAAGCGCAAGUGACGGUACCUGCAGAAAAAGCACCGGCUAACUACGUGCCAGCAGCCGCGGUAAUACGUAGGGUGCAAGCGUUGUCCGGAAUUAUUGGGCGUAAAGAGCUCGUAGGCGGCUUGUCGCGUCUGCUGUGAAAACUGGAGGCUCAACCUCCAGCCUGCAGUGGGUACGGGCAAGCUAGAGUGCGGUAGGGGAGAUUGGAAUUCCUGGUGUAGCGGUGGAAUGCGCAGAUAUCAGGAGGAACACCGAUGGCGAAGGCAGAUCUCUGGGGCCGUAACUGACGCUGAGGAGCGAAAGCAUGGGGAGCGAACAGGGAUUAGGAUACCCGGU